GGGUAGUGAGGCUGUGACCCGCAAGACCCGUCUCCUGGAUGUGGUUUACAAUUCGUCAAACAAUGAGCUUGUGAGGACUCAGACCCUUGUCAAGAAUGCCAUUGUGCAAGUUGAUGCUGCCCCCUUCAAGCAGUGGUACCUGACUCAUUAUGGAGUCGAAAUCGGUAGGAAGAAGAAAGCUGCUGCAGCUGCCAAGAAGGAACCUGCUGAGGUAUUAUUCCUGUUUCUGUAUUUCAAUUCUGUAUCCUGAGGUUGGUAAUUACUGUAUAGCUUGUUUAGGAUGUGCUACUUAGUUGAAAUGAUUUGGAUUUCAAUUCUGUAUUCUGAUCAACUCUUAUUUGUAGUUGUAGCACAAGUACCAAUUCUUUUUUAUUCUGAUUGCAUGCAUUAGUAUCCUUUCAUCCUGGACUGUUAGUAGUUCCAACUUUUAUCCAGCCUCCUUGCUCAUUGUAUUUCAUUCAUGAAUAAAUUCCUUAAAUUGGUCUUUGUAGAUACAAACUUUAAUGUUUUGAACAUCUUAUUUUAAUGGUUGCAUUUUGCCAGUAAGGCCCCUAGUUUGUAUUAUGCCCUUUUCCCCUUGGAUUGUAUCCAAUCCCUGACCCAGUCUUAUCCCUGUUCACUGCUUAUGUUUGCUUUGUGUGAUUUUCUUAUGCACAGGGGCAAGAGGCUGAGGUUGCUGCUGCUGCCACAGAGGAAGCAAAGAAGAGCAACAAUGUCCAGAGGAAGCUUGAGAAGCGCCAGCAGGGACGUACACUGGACUCGCACAUUGAGGAGCAGUUCAGUGGUGGAAGGCUGCUGGCCUGCAUUUCGUCUCGCCCUGGACAGUGUGGCAGAGCUGAUGGGUAAGCAUCACAGUUCAUCUGUUCAUCACCCCUUGUAUAUUAAAUUCUGGAAGAACAUAAAGCAGUACUCUACAAUUUCUUGUUAGCUAUGGUGUUAAUACUUGUGUCUUGAAACUACAGGUACAUCCUGGAGGGCAAGGAGCUGGAGUUCUACAUGAGGAAGCUCCAGAAGAAGAAGGGCAAGGGUGCCACAGCUUAGGCUGAAGAGCUGCUGCAUGUUACUCGUUGGAUUUUCUUAGAUGUUGCGUCCAUGUCAUGUUUGCAGACAUACUGAACACCAUUUUCUGUAAACGGUUCGAGUCCUAGGUUGAACUGAGAAUGUUUUGCCUGUUUUGGUUGUGAUCUAAAGCUAUCCAGAUUCUAUUAUGUGUUCUACCUUGCAGUAUUUUCAUCUGUUCAGUGAAGUUUUGAUCUUGAGUCUCCAUGUUGAUUUGCUGCCAGCUUUGCCUUUCAGGCAUGUUAGAUUUGUAUGGUUCCUGCAGUUGCAAAGGACCCAUCCAGUGUGAAAACCCGAUCAUGUAUGCAAAGCAAUUUUGAUCAUGGAAUCUGCACAAUUGUUGGCUAUUUUUCUUUCUGGAGAUAGACGAUGACUAGCCGCUACCCCAGCCUGUGCUAAUUCUCGGUAGUGUAGGCGCUUUGCGCGGCUCUCCAUGCCUUUGUAUUCGGUGGUUUUCAUUUUCUGUUACAGGAUUUCUCGCUGCCUCUGGAGUCUGUCAAAAGUGUUACACCUAUUAAAUCCUGUUGUCAGAGCUUUGGUUGUUCAUGUGUCAAGCCUUGUGUGCCCAUUCUUUUUGAAGGUGGUUGAGAGAAACACUUGAGAAGAACUAUCACUGAAGGAAGAUAGCUAUGGAGGGGAGAUCUAGAGAGGUAGUCUUCUCCAAAUUAUUAGAGAUGGAAGUCUUGAAUCCUUGAUGGAUCUUCUCCAAAGGAGGCCAUUUCCAAUUAAGUUAUCGAUGAGCAAAGCCAAGUAAUUCUAUUAUGCUUUCAUAACACAAAAAAAAAAGA
rnacentral:lncRNA from 1 species